UAGAAACAACAGGGUGCCUGCUGCAGUAUGACGAGGACGCCCUGAUCAUAGAAGGUCCAGUGUCUUGGCAGGGUGAAAUGGCACUGAUAUCGUGUCCUGCAGGAUGCUGUGUCCUGCAAUCCUGUGUGCUGUGCUACAGACGCGUGUGGAGGUCAACCCGAAAUGGGCACAGUAGAGUGAAAGAGGAUCCUGGCAGGGAGACGGUAGUGUCCUGCAGGAUGGUGAUGGGCAAUCUUACAAGAGACCACAGAAAACUGAUAUAGUGUAAGAUUAUCCCUGUUGGGCUCAAUAUGUCUUGUUUAUUGAUAUAUUUGCUAUGUCAAUAUGAGGUGCAUGACGAAGUAUUUAUUUAUUUGUUGUUUCUACAGCUCCCAGAAGUGAGACUGAGUGCCUGUUGCAGUAUGACGAGGAAGCAGUGACCAGAGACCUUCAGUAGACCCUGCUGGCAUGAUUGGCGGCUGAAGAACAUAAUCAACAGCAAUGUUUAUAAUAUUGUACAUACCUGUAUAGUCUGCACAAAAAUGCUGUACCUGUACUAUUUUUCCUCUUACUUUCAUAUUUACCACGUAUUUACUAUGAAUUGACAACUUUUACUCAAAUCCAUUUUUGUAUGUGCCCUGACUAAAACUAUCCUUAAACCUAACCUGUCAGAGGUGUAAUAACAACCUGCUCUUAGCAAUGUGGCAGCAGUCUACUUGGAUGCAGCGGGGAACAUAGAACCCUUUUUUUGAAAAAGCAUUGUAUGUUUCUGAGUUUUAUGAAUUGUGCCCUUCCCAAACCUAACCUGUCGUAGGGGCCUAUGAAAUCCGUUUUAUUUUUCCUCAUUCAGUUUUUUUCUGAUUUAUUUUUUGCCAAAUUGGAUUUUUUU